CCUACGGGAGGCAGCAGUGGGGAAUUUUGGACAAUGGGCGCAAGCCUGAUCCAGCCAUGCCGCGUGCGGGAAGAGGGCCUUCGGGUUGUAAACCGCUUUUGUCAGGGAAGAAAUCCUUUGGGCUAAUACCUCGGAGGGAUGACGGUACCUGAAGAAUAAGCACCGGCUAACUACGUGCCAGCAGCCGCGGUAAUACGUAGGGUGCGAGCGUUAAUCGGAAUUACUGGGCGUAAAGCGUGCGCAGGCGGUUAUGCAAGACAGAUGUGAAAUCCCCGGGCUUAACCUGGGAACUGCAUUUGUGACUGCAUAGCUCGAGUACGGCAGAGGGGGAUGGAAUUCCGCGUGUAGCAGUGAAAUGCGUAGAUAUGCGGAGGAACACCGAUGGCGAAGGCAAUCCCCUGGGCCUGUACUGACGCUCAUGCACGAAAGCGUGGGGAGCAAACAGGAUUAGAUACCCUGGUAGUCCGACGCCCUAAACGAUGUCAACUGGUUGUUGGACGGCUUGCUGUUACNGUAACGAGCUAAGCGUGAAGUUGACCGCUGGGGAGUCGGCCGNAGUGAAACGUGAAAGGAUUGACGGNGNGAGAGNGCGAGACGACGACGAGGGAGGAGG
rnacentral:rRNA from 1 species